GAUGAACGCUGGCGGCGUGCCUAAUACAUGCAAGUCGAGCGAACGGACGAGAAGCUUGCUUCUCUGAUGUUAGCGGCGGACGGGUGAGUAACACGUGGAUAACCUACCUAUAAGACUGGGAUAACUUCGGGAAACCGUAGCUAAUACCGGAUAAUAUUUUGAACCGCAUGGUUCAAAAGUGAAAGACGGUCUUGCUGUCACUUAUAGAUGGAUCCGCGCUGCAUUAGCUAGUUGGUAAGGUAACGGCUUACCAAGGCAACGAUGCAUAGCCGACCUGAGAGGGUGAUCGGCCACACUGGAACUGAGACACGGUCCAGACUCCUACGGGAGGCAGCAGUAGGGAAUCUUCCGCAAUGGGCGAAAGCCUGACGGAGCAACGCCGCGUGAGUGAUGAAGGUCUUCGGAUCGUAAAACUCUGUUAUUAGGGAAGAACAUAUGUGUAAGUAACUGUGCACAUCUUGACGGUUCCUAAUCAGAAAGCCACGGCUAACUACGUG
rnacentral:rRNA from 1 species